ACUUAAAUAGCUUAUGUAAAGUAUAGCCCUGAAGAGGCUGGGAAGAGAAUACCUCUUUAGGUG
rnacentral:tRNA from 1 species